UCGAAACGCAAUACGCCACGGAAUUACUUCGGUAAUCGGAUGGUAUGGCGAGCUUUCGCCGUCCACGUUCCUCUUUCUUCAAAAAGACAAGAACCGCGUCGACCUAGAGGGAUCUGGGCCGGUUUGACGAGAAUGGGCCCGUAGCUCAGUUGGUUAGAGCACACGCNUGAUAAGCGUGGG
rnacentral:misc_RNA from 1 species